rnacentral:rRNA from 1 species
CCUACGGGAGGCAGCAGUGGGGAAUAUUGCACAAUGGGGGAAACCCUGAUGCAGCGACGCCGCGUGAGUGAAGAAGUAUUUCGGUAUGUAAAGCUCUAUCAGCAGGAACGAGACAAGACGGUACCUGACUAAGAAGCCCCGGCUAACUACGUGCCAGCAGCCGCGGUAAUCCGUAGGGGGCAAGCGUUAUCCGGAAUCACUGGGUGUAAAGGGAGCGUAGACGGCUGAGCAAGCCUGAAGUGAAAGGCGGGGGCCCAACCCCCGGACUGCUUUGGGAACUGUACGGCUGGAGUGCAGGAGAGGUAAGUGGAAUUCCUAGUGUAGCGGUGAAAUGCGUAGAUAUUAGGAGGAACACCAGUGGCGAAGGCGGCUUACUGGACUGUAACUGACGUUGAGGCUCGAAAGCGUGGGGAGCAAACAGGAUUAGAUACCCGAGUAGUC